GACGAACGCUGGCGGCGUGCUUAACACAUGCAAGUCGAACGGAAAGGCCCUGCUCUUGUGGGGUGCUCGAGUGGCGAACGGGUGAGUAACACGUGAGUAACCUGCCCUUGACUUUGGGAUAACUUCAGGAAACUGGGGCUAAUACCGGAUAGGAGCUCCUGCUGCAUGGUGGGGGUUGGAAAGUUUCGGCGGUUGGGGCUGGACUCGCGGCUUAUCAGCUUGUUGGUGUGGUAGUGGCUUACCAAGGGUUUGACGGGUAGCCGGCCUGAGAGGGUGACCGGGCACAUUGGGACUGAGAUACGCAGCAGAAGCGUACGGGCGGCAGCAGUGGGGAAUAUUGCACAAUGGGCGGAAGCCUGAUGCAGCAACGCCGCGUGCGGGAUGACGGCCUUCGAGUUGUAAACCGCUUUCGCCUGUGACGAAGCGUGAGUGACGGUAAUGGGUAAAGAAGCACCGGCUAACUACGUG
rnacentral:rRNA from 1 species